ensembl:lncRNA
CUGGCAGUGGAUUCUUUGCCACUAAGCCACCAGGGAAGCCCAUUUUGCUAUUUUCUACCUCUCAAAUUUUGCUUUACAAGUUUUUAUUUAACAGUUUCAUGCUUAGUAACGUUUUUCUAUGGGUUGAUCAUGAGAUUUGAAAAUGGAUGUAUAGUGUUUACGUUAGUUCAACUCUAAAUGCUAUUCUCUACCUAGUCGAGGAGUUGCUGGAACCACUUUUCCCUCCUUACAGUCAAAUGUUAUGGCCUCUCUUCCACUGAAGGGAAGAUAUUUCUUAUAUCUGAAUCAAAUUGAUGAUCUUUUCCCAUACUCUAUUAAUUGCUCCCACUGUGGUUCUUAUUUUGGCCACAGUUUUCCUCUAUAGAUUUUCCCGCCUAGAAUCCCCAAAUACUUUUAAAGAAAGAUAUCUUCAUCUUAACUUUGAAAUCAUCCCGACUUUCAUGGAUAAUCACCUACAGAAUGUGAUCCACUGUUCCAGAUAAAAAUAGGAAACAAUCCAUACGUCCUUGAGUGAGUGAACGGUUGAACUCUGAUACAUCCCUACCAUGGAAUACUCCUCAGCAAUGACAAGGAAGAAACUAUUGAUUCGGGCAACAGCUUGUAUGGAUCUCAGAGGCAUUUCACUGAGCGAAAAGAAGGUAAUCUCAAACUCAAAAUAUUACACACUUCAGUAUUUAUUUAAUAUGACAAAAUUUAGAGAUAGCAGAAUAGUAGUUGCUGGUGUUUAAGCAUGUGAGAGGUGGGUAUAGAGGACCUGCUUGAGGGACAUCUUUGUGGUGAUAAUUCAGUUCUUGCAUCUUGAUUGUGGUGGUGAUUAUGUGAAUCUGCACAUGUGAUAAAACACACAGAACUCUCAACACUCACAUAAAUAAGUGCAUGGAAAUCUGUGAAAUCGGAGUAGAUUCUGUGGAUUUCCCAGUUUUGAUAUUGCAUUAUAAUUAGGUAAGGUGCUAUCAUUGGGAAAGACUAACCUGGAACCUGUACUACUUUUGCAACUUCUUAUGAAAGUACUAUACUUACAGCACCAUCAUUGUUUAAAAACAAAAAGGUUUAAAACAUCAAUUAUGUUUCUAUUCAACAGCAGAAAUUCUAAACUGAGAGGAAACUUGGAUAUAGUAUUUUUAAUAGCUUAAAAAAUUAAACUCCUAACUUCAUUAAAGUGCUAAUAGUUCCAGUGAAAACCAUGUAAGUCCUCUACACAGAAAACUUUUUAAAGAAUUUUAGAAAACCACAUAAAUGAAGUAAGUGCUGUGUUUGUUGAUCAAAGAAUGAAAAAUAUGUCAAUGCAUCCUAAAUUGUAUGGAUUUAAUACAGUCAAAAUCAAAAUCCUAGUUUUUUCUCUUUUUUUGUGUGUGUAUGUGGAAGUAACUGACUGACUCUAGAAAGCAUAUUGAAAUGCAGAUGGUCGAUGUAUCCAAGAUGGUGAUGGAAGGAGAAAACCUGUAGUAUUCCCACUUCUCUCCCACUUAUUCCAGGGGCUUCCCUCAUAGCUCAGUUGGUAAAGAAUCCGCCUACAAUGCAGGAGACCCAGGUUCGACUCCUGGGUUGGGAAGAUCCCCCAACCCACUCCAGUGUUCUUGCCUGGAGAAUCCCAUCGACUGUAGCCUGCCAGGCUCCUCUGUCCAUGGGGUCGCAAGAGUUGGACACGACUUAGCGACUAAACCACCACCACCGCCCACUUAUUACAGAGUGACAGUGUGAUAUUGAUACAAGAAUAAGCAAGUAGACCUAGAAAGUAAAAGUUCAGGAAUAAACUCACAUAUAUACACCCUGAAGUUUAUGACAGUACAGAAUAUUUGCAAAAGAAAGUCCUUUUCAAAUAGAAUUGGAUCACUUUUGCAUAUUACACGUGAAAAACAAGUAUUCAUCCAUACCCCAAACAGUACACAGAAUCAGUUCUGGAUGAUUGUUGUUCUACAUGCGAAAGGUAAAGAUUUCUACAGCGAGAUACAAAGAGCAGUGUAUAUUGUUUUCUUGAGCUCCUUAUGGAUUUUAUUCUUUUCUUGUUUUAUGGAUAUAAUGUCUUCUCCAUGGUGAUAGAAAUCAGAAUUUUUAACUUCUUGAUUUUCCAGGUUCAGUUUUUUUGCUUGUUUACUUUUCACAUUCCUGGUGUCCACGUAUGUCUGAUGAUUCUAAGUUUUCCUCGGACUAGAUUGCUUAUAGGUGACUGAUGUAAGUUUUCUCUGCUGUUGUGUAAGUAGGUGUUUCCUCAUUAGGUCUGAAUGAGAAGGCUGAUGGGGAGCUCAGGGUACAUGGCUGAAUGGACAGCCCUUUGGCUGGGAAUCUCCAAAAUUUCAGAUUUCCUAAACCACUAGCCCAUCCCCACCUAACCAGGUCCAUUUCUCUAAAGGAAACCUCUUGACUUCUUUGCUUGGUGAGAAACACGGGACUGCCAGCCUCUGGACCCUCAUCAUCUUUGGGUCUGAAUUUCUCCAGGAAGAAUCUCUUCCCUGGCUCCCUUUAGCCCUUUUUUAAAUACAGCCUUCCCUCUGGCUUCCUCCUUAUAACUUCACCAUCAUACCUUCAUCCACUUUCCUUCUCUCUGCUGCUGCUGGUACUAUGUUAAAACCUUUCAUCCACUGAAGACCCCUUCUAUUUAUUUAUCAUUGUUGUUCUUUAGUGGUAACAAGUGGAGAAAAACGUGUUUUCAAUCCACCCUCUUAAAAUAGAACCUUCUAACUUAUCCUUCCUUUAGCUAGCCUAACCUGGUGUUUGCCAACUUGACCUGGACAUAGUAUCUUGUUGCUGUGGUUUAGUCACUCAGUC